UACAGCACUCCACUCAGCACUUCUUAGGAC
rnacentral:piRNA from 1 species